rnacentral:rRNA from 1 species
AGGGGACGCAUUUGAACUGCAAGCCCCGAGUAAACGGCGGCCGUAACUAUAACGGUCCUAGGUAGCGAAAUUCCUUGUCGGGUAAGUUCCGAUCCUGCACGAAUGGUGUAACGAUCUGGGCACUGUCUCAACCAUGAGUUCGGUGAAAUUGUAGUAGCGGUGAAGAUCGCGCUUACCCGCCACGGGACGAAAAGACCCCCGUGCACCUUACUACAGCUUAGCAUUGACUUUGGCCAAACCAUGUGUAGGAUAGGCGGGAGGCUUUGAAGCAGCGUCGCCAGGCGUUGUGGAGCCACCCUUGAAAUACCGCCCUUGGUUUGGUCGGAGCCUAACCCACGGCCGUAAUCCGGUCGGGGAACAGUGUUAGGUGGGUAGUUUGACUGGGGCG